rnacentral:lncRNA from 1 species
AAGUACAAAUGCAUAAAUAUAUUUAUAUGUAGGUACAUGCAUACAGAUAAUAGUGUUUGAUAUUAUUUUACUUAUAACUUUAUAACUUGGGGAACAUGAAGAGAGUGAGGGAAGAGGUGAGGUUUGUUUCCAUUGUGAGCAUGAAGAGGACAUGCAGGUUUCUUUCUGUUUCUUUGUGCAGUGCCCAUGAAUGGACCGUGGGGCACUCUGUGAUCCCUUGGGAUCAACGAAUGAAGGUUUCCUAUACUCACUGACACUUGUCCUCUCUCCCCAGUGAAUCAGCCAAUUCCUCAUGUCUUCGCGGCUCCAUCUACUGUCAUGCAGUCAUAGCGCCACAAUUCACAUUUCCCAGGGGCUUUGAAACUAUUUAAUAGAUAAUCCUCAUUCCACUUUAGGAAACCUAGACGUGUAUAAGUAAGCCAGCUGAACUGUGAAUGUAUGAGCAAGUCAGGCCCAGAUCAAUGGAAUCCCACAGAUGCAUGAGAAAUAAAUGCAUGCUAUUGAGAUUUUGUGGUUGUAUGCAACAU